UGCCUUCGUCGGAGGCCGAAGUUCUAGCCGACCUCGCGGCGCGGAGUGCAGGAAGUCCUGGAGGGGCAGCGCAGCCGGCGCGGCCCCGGCCGGCCCCGAGCUCUCGCGCCCUCCUGAAGUUCUAAGGGAGUCUUUUAGGAUGAGUUAGAAGGAAGCCCUUCUUCACUCAGCGGGGAGAAAACUUAACGAAACUGGUGACCUCCACCGCAAAGCCCGCUUUCCUCCCCCAGUGCUGUUCCCACUUCAAGACGGCAGGGGAGAGGAGCGGGUGUGGAAAGACGGUUGGAUAAAUAAAGAUGGUUACCUCAGAAUAGAAGGUCAA